rnacentral:rRNA from 1 species
GGAUGAACGCUGGCGGUAUGCUUUACACAUGCAAGUCGAACGAAAGCAAUAGCUUUAGUGGCAAACGGGUGAGUAAUACGUAAGAAUCUGCCUUUAGGAGGGAAAUAACAGUUAGAAAUGAUUGCUAAUAUCCCAUAUGCUGAAAAGUGAGAUAUUUUUUUGCCUAAAGAUGAGCUUACGCCUGAUUAGCUAGUUGGUAAGGUAAAGGCUUACCAAGGCAACGAUCAGUAGCUGGUUUGAGAGGAUGAUCAGCCACACUGGAACUGAGACACGGUCCAGACUUCUACGGAAGGCAGCAGUGGGGAAUUUUCCGCAAUGGGCGAAAGCCUGACGGAGCAAUACCGCGUGAAGGAUGAAUGCCUGUGGGUUGUAAACUUCUUUUAUUAGGGAAGAAGAUAUGACGGUACCUAAUGAAUAAGCAUCGGCUAACUCCGUGCCAGCAGCCGCGGUAAUACGGGGGAUGCAAGCGUUAUCCGGAAUUAUUGGGCGUAAAGAGUCUGUAGGUUGUUCAGAAAGUCUGUUGUUAAAGAUUAGAGCUCAACUCUAAAAAAGCAAUAGAAACUACUAAACUAGAGUAUGGUAGAGGCAAAGGGAAUUCCCAGUGUAGCGGUGAAAUGCGUAGAUAUUGGGAAGAACACCAGAAGCGAAGGCGCUUUGCUGGGCCAUUACUGACACUCAGAGACGAAAGCUAGGGGAGCAAAUGGGAUUAGAUACCCCAGUAGUCCUAGCUGUAAACGAUGGAUACUAGAUGUUGUGCGUAUCGAUCCGUGCAGUAUCGUAGCUAACGCGUUAAGUAUCCC